GAACUUCUAGGCCUCCUGUCUCCCAC
rnacentral:piRNA from 1 species